GGAAGCAGCCGAACACUCGGAGAGUACGACAUUACUUGGAAAGCCCAACCUAAUCUGGAUGCAACCUGAAUUCUAUCCUGUCAGUCGUCGGGCCCCUUUGCCCUGUCAAGGCUUACUGGGGCCCAAGCAAUAACCAUAGAAAGCCCAGAAACUGUGAUAAAAAUAAAAUUAUUAAUGCUGCGGAAAUAGCAAUCCUCUUCCGUUGUCUCCGAUCCGUGGCUCGGUGUUUACCGGAAAUAAACCAAUGGCCGCCGCUGAAUCUCAGUCUCCGAGUUCUGUGCGGAAAGUUGUUGUUCAUCUUAGAGCUACUGGCGAUGCCCCUAUACUCAGACAAGCCAAAUUUAAGAUACCUGGAAGUGACAAGUUUGCUAAAGUAAUUGACUUUCUACGGCGGCAGCUUCAUCGGGAGACUUUGUUUAUGUCAACAGUGCGUUCUCGCCAAACCCAGAUGAAUUGGUUAUCGAUUUGUAUAACAAUUUUGGUUUUGAUGGGAAACUGGUGGUAAAUUAUGCUUGUUCCAUGGCGUGGGGCUAACGGUGCUGGGUGGUGUUGUAAAAUUGUUCAUGUAAAAUUUGGAUUAUUACUUCCAUACAUGCAAGGAAACACAAUUUGCUGGUAGAUUGAAGGUGAUAUUAGGAAAUGAAAAGUGGAACCGAAUUUGAAUUCAUUAUGAUUUGAUUUGGACAAGAUUUGUGCCUAAUAUAUGGGUAUGAAAAGGAUGUACUUCCCAUUGAUUGCUAUCCAGCUGCUGAAUAAAUUUUGAUGCAUAACUAAUGUUACAGUACCUUGUCAA